UGUGAACUGGUCUCUGAGAGACUGGG
rnacentral:misc_RNA from 1 species